rnacentral:misc_RNA from 1 species
UCCCAUUCGACACGGGCAGUCUGUCCAGAGUGCACCUUUCGGUUAGCAACUAAUGGCAAGGGUUGCGCUCGUUGCGGGACUUAACCCAACACCUCACGGCACGAGCUGACGACAGCCAUGCACCACCUGCACAGAAGUCCCUUGCGGGAGGUUCUGGCUUUCACCAAAAUUUCUUCUGCAUGUCAAACCCAGGUAAGGUUCUUCGCGUUGCCUCGAAUUAAACCACACGCUCCGCUGCUUGUGCGGGCCCCCGCCUAUUCCUUUGAGUUUUAAUCUUGCGACCGUACUCCCCAGGCGGGGUGCUUAAUGCGUUUGCUGCGCCACCGAAGAGCAAGCUCCCCGACGGCUAGCACCCAUAGUUUACGGCGUGGACUAC